GUGGGGAAUAUUGCGCAAUGGGGGAAACCCUGACGCAGCGACGCCGUGUGAGGGAAGAAGGCUUUCGGGUCGUAAACCUCUGUCAGAAAGGAAGAACCUCCCAUAUCCGAAUAGGGUGUGGGACUGACGGUACUUUCAAAGGAAGCACCGGCUAACUCUGUGCCAGCAGCCGCGGUAAUACGGAGGGUGCUAGCGUUAAUCGGAAUCACUGGGCGUAAAGCGCGCGUAGGCCGCUUCUUAAGUCGGACGUGAAAGCCCUCGGCUCAACCGGGGAACUGCGGUCGAUACUGGGAGGCUUGAGUCCUGGAGAGGGUGGCGGAAGUCCGGGUGUAGGAGUGAAAUCCGUAGAUAUCCGGAGGAACACCGGUGGCGAAGGCGGCCACCUGGACAGGUACUGACGCUGAGGCGCGAAAGCGUGGGGAGCAAACAGGAUUAGAUACCCGAGUAGUCC
rnacentral:rRNA from 1 species